rnacentral:misc_RNA from 1 species
GAUGAAGAACGUAGCGAAAUGCGAUAAGUAAUGUGAAUUGCAGAAUUCAGUGAAUCAUCGAAUCUUUGAACGCACAUUGCGCCCGACAGCAUUCUGGCGGGCAUGCCUGUUCGAGCGUCAUUUCAACCCUCGAGCCCCCCCGGGGGCCUCGGUGUUGGGGGACGGCACACCAGCCGCCCCCGAAAUGCAGUGGCGACCUCGCCGCAGCCUCCCCUGCGUAGUAGCACACACCUCGCACCGGAGCGCGGAGACGGUCACGCCGUAAAACGCCCAACUUCUUAGAGUUGACCUCGGAUCAGGUAGGAAUACCCGCUGAACUUAAGCAUAUCAAUAAGCGGAGGA